rnacentral:rRNA from 1 species
CCUGGUUGAUCCUGCCAGUAGUCAUAUGCUUGUCUCAAAGAUUAAGCCAUGAAUGGCUCAGCAAAAGCUUUACCAAGCAAAAUUGCGGAUGGCUCAUUCAAUCCGUUACGGUUCCCCCUACAUGAAUAAUUGUGGUAAUUCUAGAGCUAAUACAUGCCAGCAAGCGCCGACCUUACGGGAGGCGUGCUCUUAUUAGGAAAAAGACCAACCAGGGCCCGUCCCAGCUCUGUUGGUGAACUCUGGAUUACCUGGCCGAUCGCACGGUCCUUGCUAGGGCGACGGAUCCUUCGAAUGUCUGCCCUAUCAAUUUUCGAUGGUACGUUAUGCGCCUGCCAUGGUCGUAACGGGUAACGGAGAAUCAGGGUUCGAUUCCGGAGAGGGAGCUUGAGAAACAGCUACCACAUCCAAGGAAGGCAGCAGGUGCACAAAUUACCCACUCCCGACACGGGGAGGUAGUGACGAAAAAUAGCAAUACAGCACUCUUCCGAGGCCCUGUCACUGGAAUGAGUACACUUGAAAUCCUUUAACCAGGAUCUAUAGGAGAGCAAGUCUGGUGCCAGCAGACGCAGCAAUUCCAGCUCCAAUAGCGUAUAUUCAAAUUUCUGCAGUUAAAAAGCUCGUAUUGGAUCUUGGGCGCAGGCUGGCGGUCCGCCGCAAGGCACACCACUGCCCGCCUGGCCUUCCUCUCGGUCUCCGCCCGGUUCUCUUGACUGAGUGCCGAAAGCGGCCGGAACGUUUACUUUGAAAAAAAUGGAUUUUUCAAAGCAGGCCGACCGCCUGGACAGCAGAGCAUGGAAUAAUGGAAUAGGACCUCGGUUCUAUUGCGUUGAUUUUCGGAACUCGAGGUAAUGAUUAAGAGGGACUGAGAGGGGUAUUCGUAUUGCGGUGUGAGAGGUGAAAUUUUUGGAUCGCCGCAAGAAAACCGCCUGCAAAAGCAUUUGCAAAGAAUGUUUACAUUAAUCAAGAACGAAAGUUAGAGGUUCGAAGGCGAUCAGAUACUGCUCUAGUUCUAACCAAAACGAUGCCGAAUGGCCAUCUGCCGGCGUUACUCCAAUGACGCGGCGGGCAGUCUUCGGGAAACCAAAGUCUUUGGGUUCCGUGGGAAGUACGGUUGCAAAGCUGAAACGUAAAGGGAUUGACAGAAGGGCACCACCAGUAGUGGAGCCUGCGGCUUAAUUUGACUCAACACGGGGAAACUCACCCGGCCCGGACACAGUGAGGAUUGACAGAUUGAGAGCUCUUUCUUGAUUGUGUGGGUGGUGGUGCGUGACCGUUCUUAGUUGGUGGAGCGGUUUGUCUGGUUAAUUCCGAUAAAGAACGAGACUCUGGCUUGCUAAAUAGUCGCGCCGGCCGCCGCGCCGGACGCU